rnacentral:sRNA from 1 species
GAAAGAAUUUCCGGGAAGACAAUGAAGAUACCAUCGCGACAUAUUUGGAAGACCGUAAACGAGGCCGGCCGUUAUCAGGCGGAUCUGCGCGAUCGGAAUCUUCAUAUAGGCAGGACGAUGCGCGACCUUCAGCGCCACUCCGAGGAAAAGUACAACAAGCGGAUCCAGGCACUGCUUGAAACUCUGGAACGUGCCGAACGCCAGUCGCAUAAAUGACGAUCGCUCCGUGUCCCUCCGGCAACAGGCAUGCGCCCUGGCGUCGUGCCGCGCGGAACAAAAGGCGCCAAUCGGCGUUUUGGCGA